ACGCUCGACACCUACGGAGGCAGCAGUCGGGAAUAUUGCGCAAUGGAGGAAACUCUGACGCAGUGACGCCGCGUAUGAGAAGAAGGUUUUCGGAUUGUAAACCAUUUUAGACAAGGAAGAAACAAGACAGUACUUGUAGAAUAAGCUCCGGCUAACUACGUGCCAGUAGCCGCGGUAAUCUGAGCGGGCUGGCAAGGC
rnacentral:rRNA from 1 species